UACGGAGGGGGCUAGCGUUGUUCGGAAUUACUGGGCGUAAAGCGCACGUAGGCGGCUUUGUAAGUUAGAGGUGAAAGCCCGGGGCUCAACUCCGGAAUUGCCUUUAAGACUGCAUCGCUAGAAUUGUGGAGAGGUAAGUGGAAUUCCGAGUGUAGAGGUGAAAUUCGUAGAUAUUCGGAAGAACACCAGUGGCGAAGGCGACUUACUGGACACAUAUUGACG
rnacentral:rRNA from 1 species